rnacentral:misc_RNA from 1 species
GAUGAAGAACGUAGCGAAAUGCGAUACGUAAUGUGAAUUGCAGAAUUCAGUGAAUCAUCGAAUCUUUGAACGCAUAUUGCGCUCUCUGGUAUUCCGGAGAGCAUGCUUGUUUGAGUAUCAGUAAACACCUCAACUCCCUUUUCUUUUUUGAAAUUGGAGCUGGACUUGAGUGAUCCCAACGCUUUCUUCCAAGAAAGUGGCGGGUUGCUUGAAAUGCAGGUGCAGCUGAACUUUUCUCUGAGCUAUAAGCAUAUCUAUUUAGUCUGCCUAAAAAACAGAUUAUUACCUUUGCUGCAGCUAACCUAAAGGAGACUAGUUCUUGUGCUGACUGAUGCAGGAUUCACAGAGACAGCUUCGGCUGACUUUGUAAACUCGAUCUCAAAUCAAGUAAGACUACCCGCUGAACUUAAGCAUAUCAAUAAGCGGAGGA